rnacentral:rRNA from 1 species
CAGUCGCCGCGGUAAUGCGUAGGUGGCAAGCGUUGUCCGGAAUUAUUGGGCGUAAAGCGCGCGCAGGCGGAUCAGUCAGUCUGUCUUAAAAGUUCGGGGCUUAACCCCGUGAUGGGAUGGAAACUGCUGAUCUAGAGUAUCGGAGAGGAAAGUGGAAUUCCUAGUGUAGCGGUGAAAUGCGUAGAUAUUAGGAAGAACACCAGUGGCGAAGGCGACUUUCUGGACGAAAACUGACGCUGAGGCGCGAAAGCCAGGGGAGCGAACGGGAUUAGAUACCCCAGUAGUCCCUGUCUCUUAUACC